CACAUGUGACGAGUUGAUCCUGGCUCAGAACGAACGCUGGCGGCAGGCCUAACACAUGCAAGUCGAGCGCACCUUCGGGUGAGCGGCGGACGGGUUAGUAACGCGUGGGAAUGUACCCUUUACUAAGGAAUAGCCACUGGAAACGGUGAGUAAUACCUUAUACGCCCUUCGGGGGAAAGAUUUAUCGGUAAAGGAUCAGCCCGCGUAAGAUUAGAUAGUUGGUGGGGUAAUGGCCUACCAAGUCUACGAUCUUUAGCUGGUUUUAGAGGAUGAUCAGCAACACUGGGACUGAGACACGGCCCAGACUCCUACGGGAGGCAGCAGUGGGGAAUCUUAGACAAUGGGCGCAAGCCUGAUCUAGCCAUGCCGCGUGAGUGAUGAAGGUCUUAGGAUCGUAAAGCUCUUUCGCCAGGGAUGAUAAUGACAGUACCUGGUAAAGAAACCCCGGCUAACUCCGUG
rnacentral:rRNA from 1 species